rnacentral:tRNA from 2 species
CGGGCCGUAGUAUACCGGUAGUACGUACGAUUCGGGUUCGUAUGGACCGGGUUCGAUUCCCGGCGGCCCGACCA